UACCAGCACCCCGAGUGGUCGGGGCGAUUAUUGGGCCUAAAGCAUCCGUAGCCGGCCUUACAAGUCCUCCGUUAAAUCCAGCUGCUUAACGGAUGGGCUGCGGAGGAUACUAUAAGACUAGGAGGCAGGAGAGGCAAGCGGUACUCAGUGGGUAGGGGUAAAAUCCGUUGAUCCAUUGAAGACCACCAGUGGCGAAGGCGGCUUGCCAGAAUGCGCUCGACGGUGAGGGAUGAAAGCUGGGGGAGCAAACCGG
rnacentral:rRNA from 1 species